GACGAACGCUGGCGGCGUGCUUAACACAUGCAAGUCGAACGGAAAGGCCCUGCUUUUGUGGGGUGCUCGAGUGGCGAACGGGUGAGUAACACGUGAGUAACCUGCCCUUGACUUUGGGAUAACUUCAGGAAACUGGGGCUAAUACCGGAUAGGAGCUCCUGCUGCAUGGUGGGGGUUGGAAAGUUUCGGCGGUUGGGGAUGGACUCGCGGCUUAUCAGCUUGUGGGUGGGGUAGUGGCUUACCAAGGCUUUGACGGGUAGCCGGCCUGAGAGGGUGAACGGCCACAUUGGGACUGAGAUACGGCCCAGACUCCUACGGGAGGCAGCAGUGGGGAAUAUUGCACAAUGGGCGGAAGCCUGAUGCAGCAACGCCGCGUGCGGGAUGACGGCCUUCGGGUUGUAAACCGCUUUCGCCUGUGACGAAGCGUGAGUGACGGUAAUGGGUAAAGAAGCACCGGCUAACUACGUG
rnacentral:rRNA from 1 species